UCCAGACUCCUACGGGAGGCAGCAGUGGGGAAUAUUGCACAAUGGGGGAAACCCUGAUGCAGCGACGCCGCGUGAGUGAAGAAGUAUUUCGGUAUGUAAAGCUCUAUCAGCAGGGAAGAAAAUGACGGUACCUGACUAAGAAGCCCCGGCUAACUACGUGCCAGCAGCCGCGGUAAUACGUAGGGGGCAAGCGUUAUCCGGAUUUACUGGGUGUAAAGGGAGCGUAGACGGCAUGGCAAGUCAGAUGUGAAAGCCCGGGGCUCAACCCCGGGACUGCAUUUGAAACUGUCAGGCUGGAGUGCAGGAGAGGUAAGUGGAAUUCCCAGUGUAGCGGUGAAAUGCGUAGAUAUUAGGAGGAACACCAGCGGCGAAGGCGGCUUACUGGACUGUAACUGACGUUGAGGCUCGAAAGCGUGGGGAGCAAACAGGAUUAGAUACCCCUGUAUCG
rnacentral:rRNA from 1 species